rnacentral:misc_RNA from 1 species
CGAAAUGCGAUACGUAGUGUGAAUUGCAGAAUUCAGUGAAUCAUCGAAUCUUUGAACGCACAUUGCGCCCUUUGGUAUUCCAAAGGGCAUGCCUGUUCGAGCGUCAUUUGUACCCUCAAGCUUUGCUUGGUGUUGGGCGUCUUUUGUCUUUGGCCUCGCCCAAAGACUCGCCUUAAAACGAUUGGCAGCCGGCCUACUGGUUUCGCAGCGCAGCACAUUUUUGCGCUUGCAAUCAGCACAAGGACGGCAAUCCAUCAAGACUACAUUUUUACGUUUGACCUCGGAUCAGGUAGGGAUACCCGCUGAACUUAAGC